rnacentral:lncRNA from 1 species
UGUGCCUGUGUAUGUGCACAUAAACAGUGUCUUUGAGGGCUUGGCAAUCUGUGUUGAUGUUAUUGAAGCUCUGCACCUGACUUCUGGUCACUUUUCUGUUACUGACCAGCUAAAUAACUUUGAGUAAGUCAUUGAACUUAUUUGGACACUAGUUCCAUCAACUGUUAGAUAUGAGGAUGGGAAUGGAUUGUCUCAAAGAUCCUUUUGAGUUCAAAAAGUCUAUGAUACCAGUGAGAAUGUUCCAAAGCCUUAAUGACACCUCACUGAAUGCAGCUUAAAAUGGCUGCAAGCUGACCAGACGAUUGCAUUCUCCAAGGUGAGCUGCCCUUCAUACCUCAUGCCCUUGAAUAAUGCAGCGUAAGUGUGUUUAUUGUGCCAGCUCUUCUUGUAGUUUUAUUCUAAUCCCUCGUCUCAGGCAACAUUUGUUUUGGCUGCAGUUCGAUACUUCCUCCUUCAGAGCUAUGCUUGGUUUUACCUCUAAUUCUGUGGCCCUCAGGGGCUGGUUGUACUGAUAAACUUUUACAAGUAAAAGGAGCUGUGGAGAUGACCUCCAGCUGGGGCUGAAGGCCUAUACAGCAGCACCUUCUUGCUGAAGCUAAGUGAUCCUCUUGGGGAGGAGGGUUGGGGGUCCAGGGCCCCUGAAGUCAGGAUUCCCCAGUGAGUUGGUCAAUGUGGACUUAGAUCUUGUUGAAAUAUCCAGAAGUAUUUCUAAGUAGAAUAUUUUUGAUCACAGAAACAAGGUAAAUAUUUUUGUCUUCCUUCAGUGGAGGACUUUGGAGCUCUCAGGUGGCUGCUCUCCAUCCCAGGCCUGGCUGUAGGAGGCUACCUGGGUGGGGUGCAGGCCCAUGCCUGGGGUCCUGGCUCCAGAGGCACCACAUGCCACUCAGUGAGGAUAAGAAUCCAUUCUGCAGCUUCUUUCAGCCCCACAUCAAUAAAUGGAGACAGUGGGAAGGGAGCUGUGCUACUUUGAAGGAUUUGGGGGCAGACUAAGAAGAAAACACAUGUGAAAGUGCUUUGUAAGGAUGAGUGCAUGGCGGGGCGACGAGGGGCGUUGGAGGCACAUGCAGCUGGGUAGGAGUUGCACUUUGGUCAUUGGCCAGUUAUGUGGCUUUGGGAACUGUUCAGACUUCUGGAUCUUGGCUUCCUUUUUUGUUAAGUAGGUGAUGAUAGGGAUCUCAUUGGGCUGCUGUGAGGAUGAGGUGUGUUUACAGUGCUUGGCAAAGAGUGGGGCUCCAUGCACAUAACUCCAUUUCCUCUACAUCUACAUUGCUCUGCAAACGAAGGGUGCUAUGACAAUAAACCCACCCCAAGGCCAAAGGAGGGGCGUGCUGGGGGUGGAGAGGGAUGGCUGGGAACUAACUAGCCGGCAUCAGCAAAGGAGGGAUUGUUUUGGUCUUUGUAGGAAAUUAGGAGGAUUGCCUUUCUCAUCUAUUACUUCCAAUGAGUUCUGAUGUUCUGGGGAAUCUUCUCUGAAUGAAUCCUGGUAUUGCUUCAUUUAUACUAUAACUCUGUAGUAUAACUAUAUCCUGUGUAAUCCAAGCCAAAGAUAGAGGGUUUGGGGACGACAGAUAUUUCAACAAUAGUCACUGAGGCAAGGAAUUGUGGAUUCUAGGAUGAGGCAGCAGGUGAAGGGCUUUGGUGCCCACACAGAGGAGAAGAGGGCAACUGGAGCGAGGAAAUGUCUUGCUGUCCUGCCGUUUAGCUCUGGAAGUGUCUCUUGGGACAAUCUUGGAGAAACGUCAACUGAAGUGCUAGUUUAGUAGCAGGGUAGCUGAGUCCUAGCAGUGUUUCGCAUUUCUCCAGUGAAAGCCCUAGAGGACUUGGAUGUCCCCAUCUCUAAAGACACCGGUGGCGGCAGAGGCCCAGCUUCUAAACACUCAGGGUCACACAGGCAUUGGUGCUUGGUAAACGUUUUCUUAUAUAAUUUCAAAGCCAUCUGUGACAUGGCUGUAUCAUCCCCAUUCUACUAGUGAGAAAACCAAUGCCAGGGGAUGGAAAAACAACUUCCUUAUGGUCACACUGCCAGUCAGUGCCUGGUGGGACCCAAGCUGGGCCCCAAUCCCCCAUGUCCCCCUUGGCACCUGUCCUGCUUUAGGGAAGAUGGUCUGUGGUCAAAGCUUAAUCUUUGCUUUGAUAAAGGAUUAAUUCAAAUUUUGGAAUGAAAAGAAGAGAUUUUGAAGCCCUAAAACUGUACUGUGUGACAAAACUCCUGUUCUUGGGAUAUGGUGGCAGAAGUAAGGGAAAGUGUCAGAAAAAGUCCCGCAAGGUGAGAAAAACUGAAAAAGAGACCCCUUUCCUAUAGAGGCUCACGAAGGGGAAAUUGCAACUGUGCGACCCUGUCUGCUAGCUUUCUCUGUCACUUCAUCCCCCAUUCCUGUUGCUGUGUGCACUUUUAUCCAACCCUCUUAAUGUCCAUGGCUGCGCUACCAGCAAAAUCUAACCCCAUCUGCUUGGCUAAGCUUCUUGCGCUCACCUAUACCUGAGGAGUACGACAUCAGGCUUCAGGGCUUAUUGAAGUCAUUACUCACAUCAUUGCACUAAUCACAAACAGAAGUGAAAGUUGUAAAUUGUAUAUAAUUACAUUUCAUAGAGAAAAAAGUAGAUUUAAAAAUGGCAAUUAAUAUUCUUAAUAGCCAAAAGUUAUUGCUAAUUAAUAAGAAAAACAUAAGCACUCCAAUUGAAAAAAAAUGAGCAAAGGUCAUAAAGACAUAAAACUCGCCUGUGGAAACAUACGUAGAGGAAACACAGAAUUAGUGAGUGUGUGUAUGGAAAUAAAUGGAAGGAUAAUGCUUGCUACCCAGUGUGGGCUUUGGGGGUAGAUCUACCUGGACUGAGUUCUGGAUUCACUAUUUACUAGCUCCAUGACCUUCAGCAAAGUAACCUCUCUAAGCCUUUGUUUUUAUCUGUAAAAUAGGGAUACUUAUUUUCCCUGCCUUGAGGGGUUAUUGUGAGGAUAAAAGAAAAUAAUUCUGUAAAGGGCUUAGUAAAGUGCCUGGUGCAGAGAAAUUUUUCAGUGCAGAUUAGCAAUUGUCACUGCUAGUAGUAUAUUUGCAUUGAUAACAAUUAGUAAUUUAACAUCUCACUGAAAUCAAAGAAAUGCAAUUAAAACAACAAAUACAUAUUAUUUGUUACUUAUCAGAUUGGAAAACAGGUGAAAAGAUUGACAGUAACCACUGUUGGUUAGAUGUGGAGAGAUGGGUUCUCUUGUGCAAUUCUGGGAUGGUAGGACCUGAUGCCCCAUUUCUGCAGGGCAAUUUGGCAAUAUACAUUAACGUUGAACAUUCUGAUAGUUUUUGACCCAGUCAUUCUUCUCUCAGAAACUUAUUCCUGGGAGAUAACUGAACAAAUGCACAAUAAUGAAUAUAUAAGAAUGUUUAUCCUGGCAUUUUUUUUUAUAGAAACAAAAAUUCAGAAGCAACUUAAACAUCCUUCAGUGAGAUUGACUAAUAAGUCCUGCUUCAUUUUUAUGACAGAAUGCUACUACUAAUAGCAGUGUUCUAGAUUUUCAUCCACCAUCAUGGAUAAAGCUCUCCGUCAUGUGGAUGGAAUCACUGCGGUAGGAGGAUUCCUGAGGCAUUACCUGGAUAGUCUCAUCUGGCUGGACAUGCAGGAGAACUGGGAGACUGCCGAGACUGCCACGUGGGUUUUGGAGGCUGAGAAGUCCAAGACUGAGGGGCUGGCAUCUGACGAGGGCCUUCUUGCUGCUUCAUUCCACGGCAAAAUGGCAAAGAGAAGAUGAGAAGAAAGGCUCAAAGGGACGGUGGGACUUGACUGAGGACCCAGCACCUCCUGGACCUGAAUCAAGGCCCUCUGUCCCGCUGCUUUUGUUGUUGUUUACCCUGCAACUUCACAGCCCUUCAGAAGGCCCUGGACAUCAUGUGCAAGCUCCGUGGAUGGCCUGAGAUUCAUCCUUCCAAGUUGUUUUCUGACUGAGAGGCAACAUUUUAAAUUGUGAUCCCCCCUUACCCCACCACACACACUGAAACAAAAGUUUCAAGAAGUCAUUACCACACAAUGACUCAGAUAUGUUCUAGUCUAGUCUGUCUAUUCCAUUCCAUUCCAGUCUCUUUCCAAACGAAAAUAAAAGGAAGGAAAUGCUGCAUGCGACUUGGUAAGUUAAUUUCAGGACACCUUGGGACUGCUUCCUGCUGCAUGAGGCAUCAGCACACAGCAGGGGAUAUUUUGCAUUCCUGUGUGCACCGUGGGUUAGACAGGCUGCUUGGCCCUAAGUGGAGAAUGGAACUCCAGUAGAAAGGCUGAGAUGCACUGCAAGUAACCACUGCAGAAAGGAGAGGAUGCCCACAGGCAGGCUGAAGUGGACCCGUGUGGAAGGAACACUUCAAGACCACUGGCCAAGAGACUUCCUUCAUUUUUAUCCCUUCCUGUUUUUCGCCUGUGCUGAGGAUUCACCACCAGUGUGGGGAGCCUCUGACUGUAAAAGGAAAGCUGACUCUGGCUCCUUCGUGUUUUCUGUUAAGUUGGGGCCUAAGUUUUUCUGCCAGCCUUUGCGGAGGAAAUGCAGCUUCCCUGGCACACUGCCCGGUCAAGGGACGUUGAAUCCAUUGCAAUCAGCAGUUGAAGAUCCACACUACAGGCCAUGUUCUUAAAAUAAGUGGCUCCAGGACUUCCAAGAGGCAGAAGGGGCUUCAGCUGGCCAUGGGCAGGAUCCAAGUGGAGCUUCAUCCCUGCAGAGCAAUGCCUGGCUCUCAGCGGAGGCAGUCUGGAGCAGGGCUUCUACCCUUUUCAGCUCAUAGAUUACUUUGGAAUCUGAUGAACACUGGGAGCCUUCUCCUUAGAAGAACAUACAUAUGCACGAGAAUGAGACAAUUACAUAACAUUCCUUGGGUUUCACAGAUGCUGAAGCCAAUGACUUGCUUGAAGCCUGGAAGAGGGUGUUGACCUGGAGAAUCCUAAAGGCCAAAAUUUAGAGAAAAUGGUGCCAGUAAAUGAAUUCACAAGGAGAAAUGCUUCCUUGCCAACUCACUUCUCCAGAUUAUUGAGUGCAUCUAUCUGUUUGCUUUUGGCUUCACGCAAUUGGCCCUCUUCAGUUCCGUACUCUUUCCUAAAUACCUUGCAAGUUUUCCUCUUCUCUCAUGCCAUUUAUAAUAUGCUGACGCCUGAUUAGAGGAAGGAAGGACUCAGCUGCACUUGCACUGGGGGAAGGGCCACUUACAGGAAGCCUACCUGGGGCUGAGCUGGGUCUCACUGCCUCCUAGACCUAAGGGCCCCAGCUUUUCCCUCAUCUCUUGUUGCAGCCACCACUUGUUCUAGAUCUGCAUCCAUAUCUGUAAAAUGGGGGUGAUAAUACCUUCCCAUAAAGUCACUGUGAGGAUUAAAUGUCCGGCACAAUAUUUGA